rnacentral:ncRNA from 1 species
CACGAGGGUUCAACUGUCUCUUACUCCCAAUCAGUGAAAUUGACCUUCCCGUGCAGAGGCGGGGAUAAUUAUACAAGACGAGAAGACCCUGUGGAGCUUAAGUCAUAUAACUCAAUAAAUACUAAUAUUCAACCUAUUGGAAUAACAUGUAUAACCUCUGAGUUAUAGUCUUUGGUUGGGGUGACCUCGGAGCAUAGAAAAACCUCCGAAUGAAUAAAACCAAGAUUAACAAAUCUAAGUGUAAUAUUACCAGUAAUUGACCCAUAUUUUGAUCAACGGAACAAGUUACCCCAGGGAUAACAGCGCAAUCCUAUUUGAGAGCCCAUAUCGAAAAUAGGGUUUAUGACCUCGAUGUUGGAUCAGGACAUCCAAAUGGUGCAACCGCUAUUAAAGGUUCGUUUGUUCAACGAUUAAAGUCCUACGUGAUCUGAGUUCAGACCGGAGAAAUCCAGGUCGGUUUCUAUCUGUAAAUUCAUUUCUCCCAGUACGAAAGGACAAGAGAAAUAGGGCCAACAUCCAUAAUAAGCCCUAGAAUUAAUAUAUGAAUUUAUCUAAAUAUACUAAAUCAACCCAUAUACCCCCAAGAAUGUAUAGGGUGUUUUCUGUUCUUGGUUCU